UGGGGCGGUCACGUGCGCCCGAGGGGGCGGGGCCCCAAGCCGGCCCGGGAGCGGAACCGAGUUCCACCUAGAGGCUCCGUGCAAGGCGCGAACUUUUCCCCUGAGAUUUGAGGGGCUGACCUUGGCCUGAACCCCUCGGGAGGACUCAAGGCACCCGUAGCCAGGACCGGGCUGAGGUGUCCGCGGCCAGCCUGGGACAGCGGUCGGGGGCUGAAGACACCCAGGAAAAGUGGGAGCAGAAGCCUGGGGGUGAGUGCACGGGAGCUCUGCUGGCAGCUUGUACGAAGGCUCUGGUCUCCGUUUAUUCCGGGGUGGGCCAGGGCAAGUGCCCCGACAGCUCGAAGGCGGCAGCCGAGGCCACUGUCCCUUAAGAGUGCUGGAGUCCUCAGCACCUGUCUAGGGCUUCAGCAGGGGCUGUGGUCAUGGUGAAUGAAGAUCCCAACCAACAGGAGCAAAAUGGCACGCCCGCGCAGGACCCCGCACUCCGGGUGGACCACAGCGCCUCGGGGCACCAGAGCGUGUCCACGCACCCGAGCGUGUCGGCCCACCCCAGUGUCUCCAUCCACCCCGCCGUGUCGGCCCGCCCGAGCAGUUCGGCCCACCCCAGUAUGCUGGCCCAGUCCGGUGGCUUGGCCCGCCCCAGUAGCUCGUGCCCCGAGGACCUUAGUGUGAUCAAGGUGAGCAAGCGCCGUUGGGUGGUGGUCCUGCUAUUUAGCUGCUACUCCAUGUGCAACGCCUUCCAGUGGAUCCAGUACGGCUCCAUCAAUAACAUCUUCAUGCACUUCUACGGGGUCAGCGCCUUUGCCAUCGACUGGCUGUCCAUGUGCUACAUGCUGACCUACAUCCCUCUGCUGCUGCCCGUGGCCUGGCUGCUGGAGAAAUUCGGCCUGCGCACCAUCGCCCUCACCGGGUCCGCUCUCAACUGCCUGGGGGCCUGGGUGAAGUUGGGUAGCCUGAAGCCGCAUCUCUUCCCGGUCACCGUGCUGGGCCAGAUCAUCUGCUCUGUGGCCCAGGUCUUCAUCUUGGGCAUGCCCUCCCGCAUUGCUUCAGUCUGGUUCGGGGCCAAUGAGGUGUCAACGGCCUGUUCCAUAGCUGUCUUCGGCAAUCAGCUUGGAAUUGCAAUUGGGUUCUUGGUCCCUCCUGUUUUGGUACCCAACAUCGAAGACCAGGACAAGCUUGCCUACCACAUCAGCAUCAUGUUUUACAUAAUAGGAGGCGUGGCCACUCUGCUUUUCAUCCUUGUCAUCAUCGUAUUCAAGGAGAAGCCUAAACAUCCCCCCAGCAGGGCCCAAUCCCUGAGCUACGCCUUGGCGUCCCCUGAUGCUUCGUACUUAAGUUCCAUUGUCCGGCUCUUCAGAAACCUCAACUUUGUGCUGCUUGUCAUUACCUACGGUCUGAAUGCUGGUGCUUUUUAUGCCUUGUCAACUCUGCUGAAUCGCAUGGUGAUCUUGCACUACCCGGGGGAAGAAGUGAAUGCUGGAAGAAUCGGCCUGACCAUCGUCAUUGCAGGAAUGCUUGGGGCUGUGAUCUCAGGCAUCUGGCUGGAUAGGUCCAAAACCUACAAGGAGACAACCCUGGUGGUCUACAUCAUGACUGUGGUUGGCAUGGUGGUGUACACAUUGACCUUGAACCUGGGACACCUGUGGGUCUUGUUCAUCACUGCUGGCACAAUGGGCUUCUUCAUGACCGGCUACCUCCCCCUGGGAUUUGAGUUUGCUGUGGAACUGACAUACCCAGAAUCAGAAGGCAUGUCGUCUGGCCUCCUUAACGUGUCUGCCCAGGUAUUCGGGAUCAUCUUCACCAUCUCCCAGGGUCAAAUUAUUGACAACUAUGGAACCAUGCCCGGGAACAUCUUUCUGUGUGUGUUCCUCACCCUUGGAGCAGUCCUCACUGCAUUCAUUAGGGCAGAUCUCCGGAGGCAGAAAGCAAACAGAGAAACUCCUGAGAAUAGCACGUCACUGUUGUCACAGUCCACUGAGCAGCGCCCACUCCUUGGAUCCUGAGACAAGUCCUGAGACCCUGGCUCCACUGCUUUCAGCCUUGGGGUCAGUGGCUGGAGAGGAAAGAAACUCCAGGAGGAGGGGGAGGAGGAGGAGGAGGAGAACAAUGCCAACAAAGUACCCACCAUUGUGUCUGAGGAGCACUUCUGAGAGAAGAAGGUGGUGGCGACUCAGGGAACACCGACAGCACCGCCCCCCGCCCCCCCCCCCCCCCGCCUCUUCGGUCAGCAUUCACUGCCAGCACACAGGUCUUCACCGGAGCAGCUUUUGGAGGGAACCGGCUGGAAUAUCUGUGGCUUGGAUGGCGGUGCCUCUGCCUCCUGGAACCCAUUCAAGAGCUUGCAUGGUCUGGUUGGGGACGAUGGCACCUUUCACCAAAUGCACACCCCAUUCCCGCCCCCUCCCCCUCGUGGGUUAUGGGAGCUGGUGUUGAGAGAGGCUGGUGGAGAACGGUGCUGCCCUGUCUUCCCCCUUCCCCUCCAUCCUGCAAAGAGAGAGCCUGCGAAAUUAGCGUGGAAAGGAAGCUUAUUCAGGAUACUAACUUUUUCUAGUGUCUUAAGACCCUUAGAAGCCCAGUCCUAAGGAGAGGCAGCUGCUCCGGAUGAGGGGAAUUUGGGGGUCACCGGCCCAGCUGCUGAUGUUCUGUGGGAAAAAGCACCAUAAGAAAAAAACUGCAUCAGAACGAAGCCGUCAGGACUCGGCCUUCUUUCUCCUGGCCUGAGGUUGGGGUCUGCUUCCAAACCCUUUCCUAAGAGCUGAUCAAAGCAAACAUCAAUAAACUUGACAGAAAUUUUGCUGUGGC